rnacentral:rRNA from 1 species
UACAGAGGGGGCGAGCGUUGUUCGGAAUUACUGGGCGUAAAGGGCGCGUAGGCGGCCAACUAAGUCGGACGUGAAAUCCCCUGGCUCAACCAGGGAACUGCGUCCGAUACUGAUUGGCUUGAAUCCGGGAGAGGGAUGCAGAAUUCCAGGUGUAGCGGUGAAAUGCGUAGAUAUCUGGAGGAAUACCGGUGGCGAAGGCGGCAUCCUGGACCGACAUUGACGCUGAGGAGCGAAAGCUAGGGGAGCAAACGGG